UUCGUGAAGAGAAACUCACACUGAAGGCACAUAAAGAAAGGAUGGAGCAACAAUUGAAGGUUAUGGCUGGUCCAUCUUCUGGAUUCAUGCCAGCGCAUCCAGCAGCCUAUCAUGCUGGAGUGAACAAGAUGGCUGUUUUUCCGAGCUAUGGUCUGAUGCCAAUGUGGCAAUUACCUCUAGCUGCUCGUGAUACAUCCCUUGACCAUGAGCACUGGCCCCCUGCUGCAUGAUUUCUUUAAUUCUUUUUUUUUUUCUUUUCUCUCUCUCUCUCUCUCUCUCUCUCUCUCUCUCUU
rnacentral:misc_RNA from 1 species